GGAUGCGAUCAUACCAGCACUAACGGACCGGAUCCCAUCAGAACUCCGAAGUUAAGCGUGCUUGGGCGAGAGUAGUACUAGGAUGGGUG
rnacentral:rRNA from 1 species